rnacentral:rRNA from 1 species
UACGGGGGGAGCAAACGUUGUUCGGAUUUACUGGGCGUAAAGCGCGUGUAGGCGGAUUGUUAAGUCGGGGGUGAAAUCCUGGAGCUCAACUCCAGAACUGCCUUCGAUACUGGCGAUCUCGAGUUCGGGAGAGGUGAGUGGAACUGCGAGUGUAGAGGUGAAAUUCGUAGAUAUUCGCAAGAACACCAGUGGCGAAGGCGGCUCACUGGCCCGAUACUGACGCUGAGGUGCGAAAGCGUGGGGAGCAAACAGG